CCCCCGAGUCCCGGCCGGCCCGCGCGCCCUGAGCGCCGCCGCGGAGCCGCGCACUGGACGAGUCGGGUCGACGCGGGGCCGCGCCGCCGGCAGGAAACCCAGGGGGCCGCCCGGGACUGCGGGGGACCCGGGCGGGCCGCCCGCCCGCUGACCACAGUGAGGACAAAGGCCGGGAGCCGUGUCCCUGACCCACACGGAAGGAUCUUCCCAUGCGGAGCCACAGAGCCUCGGCCCGCUGAGCGGGCGCCUUAAAUUAUCAGACUAUCUAUGUAUUUAUUGGGUGGUUAUCAUGGAACCAUCUGUCGUAAUAGUUCGUUUUUGCAUCAAUGUGUUCAUUCCAAAUAAAAUGAUCUGUUCCCUUUUCUACCA